rnacentral:lncRNA from 1 species
GUCGGACCCGUACUCCAGGGUCACGUGUUCAGAGGAGGCUCUGGGCUUCUCUAAGAGCACCCUCGUCACCGUUACCCAGUUCUCCUGUUUGAUUUUUGCAGGGCAGCGCUGUCCAGUGGAAACAAUGCAGACCUCAUGUGUGACCUUCAAUUGUCCAGUGUCUAAAUGUUUUAAAAGUAGUUUUCACAUUCAACAUCCAGGAGUGCUCCACAGAAAGCCCGGCACUAGGCUGCAGCAGGAGAGCUCAUGGUGGACUGCAACCCGC